rnacentral:rRNA from 1 species
UACGGAGGAUCCAAGCGUUAUCCGGAUUUAUUGGGUUUAAAGGGUGCGUAGGCGGCUUAUUAAGUCAGGGGUGAAAGACGGUGGCUCAACCAUCGCAGUGCCCUUGAUACUGAUGAGCCUGAAUACACUUGAGGUAGGCGGAAUGUGACAAGUAGCGGUGAAAUGCAUAGAUAUGUCACAGAACACCAAUUGCGAAGGCAGCUUACUAAGGUGCAAUUGACGCUGAGGCACGAAAGCGUGGGGAUCAAACAGG